AAACCAUCAAGAAUAAUGUUGACUGUAUUUAUGUGGGCAGACUGCUGUCAUUAAGAAACAAGGUUGGCAUUUUUCUCUCUAACCUUGAACUUGAUGGUUUUAAUAUCCAAGCUAUUAAGUUUAUACCAGCAAGAAUUCUAGCAGAUAAAUCUUUUGUCAAAGCAAUGUAAGCAAACAACAAACAUAAAGAAGAGGGUAAAACAUUUAGUUUUCAGAUAACACACUCUCUAAGGACUGUCUUCUAUUUUGUGGUUCUGCACAAGGUUGUUUGAAACCGAAAAUGCUGUCUGAGGCUGGCUUUUUGAGCAGUUAGCUUCUGAAUUCAGCCCUGAAGUGAAGGCUUCAACUUCAAAUAUGGCAUUGAUGAAUUAUUGAAGAAAUUGCAGCCGGUGUUUCUGCAAAGCAUUGUGAGGCAGCUGGCUUCUUCUCUAGCAGCUCCCAUUGCUUAUUCAACUGAGGCUGGCUGUACCCAGAACAGAAGCACUUAGCAAGUUGAUGAUUAAUUUUGCUAAAGAUGUUCCAUGAUGUCCUUACAAAUCACCUAUUACUUGUAUUUUGCUGAUUUUGUGUAAAACUGGGGAGAAGGUAAGAGAAGAACAAACUAGGCUGGAGAUCACAUGGAAACUCUGAAACUCAAGACCAGAUGAAUCUGAAAUGGCAAGGAAGGCAGAAAGAAUCAAGAGGGAGAGCACGGACAAUGCACACUGGGACCCCAAAGACUGCGAAUCUUCUUUCCUUUUGCAUUUGCGUCUAUUUUCACAGACGAGGGUGAGGGCCUUAAUGCAUUUGCUGCUGCAAUUUCAGGUUUUAGAAUGUUUUGAACAAUAUGCUUCCAAUCACGCCAAUAAUUAGGGGACCCUCAUUAUCGAGUGUUAUGCCUCUUACGAUGUUACUGGCAGAGAGGGGACAUUGGCUUCACCUUGUGAGGCUUGGUUUUGUGUGACUGGCACAGAAACAGGCAUUGUUCACCUCAAUUUCUCCCCUCUUUUUCCAGGAUCCUAUUAAACCUCUUUGUUAGGAGACCCAGCUGCUUGUUUUCUCUCAAGAUAAUGACUGAAAAAUGCGCUUUUAAAAAAUCACGGGGAACAUUAUUUCUGGAAGGUCUGUCUCUUCAUCUUUUUUGCUGUCAUCUGGCUGAUGAUGAUUUUCAAUAAUCCCAUGCUAAUAAAAAUUUAUUUGAACACAUAGACCCAAUAUGGAGCUUAAAUCACCAUGGAAACCAUACACCACUGCUUUCUUUUUGCCUGUAUGGGGAUUCCUCUUUUCUUUCUUUUUUACUUCUCCAAAAACUAUUUUCAAAAAUUAUAUACAACAUAAUGUACAGAUUUUAAGUGUACAGUUUUCUAAGUUUAGACGAAUGUGUUUUCCCACAUCAUCAUCAUCCCCACCGAAAUACAGAACGUUUUCUUUAGCCCAGAAAGUUUCCUUAUCCCUUGCCCCAGUCGAUCCCUGUCUGGAAAAGCAACUAUGAUUUGGAUCAUUAUCACCAUAAAUUAGUUUUGUCUGUUUUUGUACUUUGCAUAAGUGGAAUCGUAUGGUAUAUAUUCUUUCAGGUCUGGCUUCUUUCACUUAGUAUAAUAUUCUUGAAGUUCAUUCAUAUUCCUGCACAUACCAAUAGUUUGUUUCUUUUUAUUGUUCAGAUGUAAUUCAUUGUAUGGGCUUACUACAGUUAUCUAGUCUUCUGUGGGUACGAAUGUUAAUUGUUUCUGUUUUGGGCUAUUUUGAACAGAGUUGCCAUGAAUGUUUAUAUGUAAGAUUUUGUGCAGGUGUUUGUUUUCCUUUCUCUUGUGUAAAUAUCGAAGUGUACAAUUGCUUGGUUAUGUGGUAGGUGUAUGUUUUACUCUAUAAGAAACUGUCUAGGAACUGUCCAAAGUGAUUGUCUCUUUUGAUUAAAAACAAAAAUAAAAACAAAACAUGGCUCUGUUAAA